rnacentral:rRNA from 1 species
UUGGAGGGCAAGUCUGGUGCCAGCAGCCGCGGUAAUUCCAGCUCCAGUAGCGUAUAUUAAAGUUGUUGCAGUUAAAAAGCUCGUAGUUGAAUUUCGGGAUUAGUACGUUGGUCGUGCCUUCGGUACGUACUGGUGUUACUGAUUCCUACCUUCUGACGAACCAUCAUGUCAUUAAUUUGGUGUGGUGGGGAAUCAGGACUGUUACUUUGAAAAAAUUAGAGUGUUUAAAGCAGGCUCGCGCUUGAAUACAUUAGCAUGGAAUAAUGAAAUAGGACGUUGACCCUAUUUUGUUGGUUUCUAGGAUUGACGUAAUGAUUAAUAGGGAUAGUUGGGGGCAUUAGUAUUCAAUUGUCAGAGGUGAAAUUCUUGGAUUUAUUGAAGACUAACUACUGCGAAAGCAUUUGCCAAGGAUGUUUUCAUUAACCAAGAACGAAAGUUAGGGGAUCGAAGACGAUCAGAUACCGUCGUAGUCUUAACCAUAAACUAUGCCGACUAGGGAUCGGAUGAUGUUAUUUUUAAUGACUCAUUCGGCGCCUUACGGGAAAC